rnacentral:lncRNA from 1 species
CUAAAAGACCCCCGGAGAGCUCUCGGCUAAGACACAAGAUGAUUCCAAUCCAAAGCCCUUGGGUUCAACUUUUUUUUUAUUUUUAAUUUUUCUCUUUUAAUGUCAUGCAAUAAUUCACAGUCCCAAGCCCACGGUUUUCAAACAAGGUAGGAAAAAAAAAAUUUUAAAAAAAUUUUUAAAAAAAAGAAAAAAAAAAAAAGAGAAGCAAAGGAAUCGGUGGUGGUGGUGGUCGUGGUCUUUUUUUUUUUUAAUCUCUUCUUUUGUUAUUUCAAGCAAGACCAAAUGUCAGAAGAAAAUGCUUCUUUUUCUCAAUCAUUAAUUUUUUUGUCCUUUUUGAAAUUGUUUAUUAUGAUGAUUUCUCUUUUAAACUGAUUUUUGCAGGCAGUAAUAGUAGGGUUCGGUGUUACCAGCAAGCACUCCUGGUCUGAGACGCGUGUGGGGUGUGUCUGGUUUGGGGUGCUGGGUCCCACUGCCUUCCUUCGUCCUCUGCCCUCCCCGAGGCUCCUCUGCCACAGCAACCACCAGCUUCUCGCUUGCCAGGGAAAGGAAAGAUUCCACUGAGAUGAUAAAACUCAUCAAUAGAAGCUAUUUGUUUUCUCCUCGUUUUUUUCUUUUAAAAAUGGUAGUGUUUUUUAUAUAUAGAUUUUUCCAUUUUCCCCAAAGUUGUCCAAAAAGAGCUGAGUUAAUUCGAAUCCCUCGGCUGUGUGGCUGCUCUGCCCAUCCCCCACCCCAGGCCUCCAUGAGGGGAAGUCGAGGCUGGGGGAUGCCCUGAUGCCCAGGAGGGUCUGUCUUGGCCUGGGGGUGCUCUGGGGACCCCCCGGCCCCUCCAGAGUCUGGGAUCUCCAUCGAUGGCCGGUUCUCUCCUGGGCCUGGGGUACUGGGCGGGGACGGCUCCUCCUGUGGGGUGUGUGCUGCGGGGUGCAUGGGGGAGCCAGGCGGGGGACGGGGCCGCCGCCCGGACUUAGCACCAGUCGUCGUCACUUUCACUGUAGGGUCUCGUGCAGGCCUUUUCCGGGAGCCAGGCGCUGCAGGCCUGGCCAGUCCAUGGACCGGUAGUAGCCAUUGGGGAGUCUCCGGCCGUGCCGGGAAGGCGAGGUGCAGGCCGGGCCUGCGGCCCGGGCCUGGCCCUCCAUGGGGAGGUAGUGUUCACUGUCCGAGUAGCCCUCAGUGCUCAUCUCUCGCAUCUCCACCGCCUGCUGGGCAGGAGGGAGCACAGGCUGAGCCGGAGCAGAGAGAGGACCCCAGGG